CUACGGGUUGCUGCAGUGAGGAAUAUUGCACAAUGGGGGGAACCCUGAUGCAGCAACGCCGCAUGGAGGAUGACGCAUUUCGGUGUGUAAACUCCUUUUAUAUGUCAAGAAAAUGACGGUAGCAUAUGAAUAAGCACCGGCUAACUCCGUGCCAGCAGCCGCGGUAAUACGGAGGGUGCAAGCGUUACUCGGAAUCACUGGGCGUAAAGGACGCGUAGGCGGGUUGGAAAGUCAGGUGUGAAAUCCUACAGCUUAACUGUAGAACUGCACUUGAAACUUCUAAUCUAGAGUGUGGGAGGGGGAGAUGGAAUUAGUGGUGUAGGGGUAAAAUCCGUAGAUAUCACUAGGAAUACCUAAAGCGAAGGCGAUCUCCUGGAACAUUACUGACGCUAAGGCGUGAAAGCGUGGGGAGCAAACAGGAUUAGAUACCCGGGUAGUC
rnacentral:rRNA from 1 species